rnacentral:rRNA from 1 species
AUUGAACGCUGGCGGAAUGCUUUACACAUGCAAGUCGAACGGCAGCACGGACUUCGGUCUGGUGGCGAGUGGCGAACGGGUGAGUAAUGUAUCGGAACGUGCCCAGUCGUGGGGGAUAACGUAGUGAAAAUUACGCUAAUACCGCAUACGAUCUAUGGAUGAAAGCGGGGGAUCGCAAGACCUCGCGCGAUUGGAGCGGCCGAUAUCAGAUUAGGUAGUUGGUGGGGUAAAGGCCCACCAAGCCAACGAUCUGUAGCUGGUCUGAGAGGACGACCAGCCAGACAGGAACUGGGAAACGGUCCAGACUCCUACGGGAGGCAGCAGUGGGGAAUUUUGGACAAUGGGCGAAAGCCUGAUCCAGCCAUUCCGCGUGCAGGAUGAAGGCCCUCGGGUUGUAAACUGCUUUUGUACAGAACGAAAAGGUUUCUACUAAUACUAGGAGCUCAUGACGGUACUGUAAGAAUAAGCACCGGCUAACUACGUGCCAGCCGCCGCAGUAA